rnacentral:lncRNA from 1 species
AGAUGCUAUGGGUCUUGGAGACGCCAUUAAAGACAGAAAUAAUGCAUCCACCCAAGACUAUGCUAAGGCCUUGACUUUCUUGUGCCAUCACCUUAAUGAAGGUUUGAAACUAUGCUAAGGCCUUGAUUUACUUGCGCCAUCACGUUGAUGAAGGUUUGAAACUGUGCUAAGGCCUUGAUUUACUUGCGACAUCACCUUGAUGAAUGUUUGAAACUGUGCUAAGGCCUUGAUUUACUUGCGCCAUCACCUUGAUGAAGGUUUGAAAAUUGAAUAUAUCA